rnacentral:lncRNA from 1 species
GGCUGUUUUGCGUGACGCUCGUCACGCACCCUGUGACGUCCGUCACAGGCACAGCGUUGGUGACUUGUGCGCUUUGGGCUGGGCUUUGGCAUUUGGUCCCUUUUCUCUCCUUUUUGCACCUCCUUUUCUUCCAUUUUCACUUGUUCUUCAAAAUAGACUACCUGCGACAAUUAGGAAGAAAAUACCACGUAAUAUCUCAUAAAAUGCAGUAAACCGAAAUAAAUAGUCAUAGAAUUUAAU